rnacentral:rRNA from 1 species
UACGGAGGGUGCAAGCGUUAUCCGGAUUUACUGGGUUUAAAGGGUGCGUAGGUGGGUCUGUAAGUCAGUGGUGAAAUCUCCGAGCUUAACUCGGAAACUGCCAUUGAUACUAUAGAUCUUGAAUUAUCUGGAGGUAAGCGGAAUAUGUCAUGUAGCGGUGAAAUGCUUAGAUAUGACAUAGAACACCAAUUGCGAAGGCAGCUGGCUACACAUAUAUUGACACUGAGGCACGAAAGCGUGGGGAUCAAACAGG